rnacentral:rRNA from 1 species
GAUGAACGCUAGCUACAGGCUUAACACAUGCAAGUCGAGGGGAAACGACAUCGAAAGCUUGCUUUUGAUGGGCGUCGACCGGCGCACGGGUGGGUAACGCGUAUCCAACCUGCCCAUCACUUGGGGAUAACCUUGCGAAAGUAAGACUAAUACCCAAUGAUAUCUCUAGAAGACAUCUGAAAGAGAUUAAAGAUUUAUCGGUGAUGGAUGGGGAUGCGUCUGAUUAGCUUGUUGGCGGGGUAACGGCCCACCAAGGCAACGAUCAGUAGGGGUUCUGAGAGGAAGGUCCCCCACAUUGGAACUGAGACACGGUCCAAACUCCUACGGGAGGCAGCAGUGAGGAAUAUUGGUCAAUGGGCGAGAGCCUGAACCAGCCAAGUAGCGUGCAGGAAGACGGCCCUAUGGGUUGUAAACUGCUUUUAUAAGGGAAUAAAGUGAGAGUCGUGACUCUUUUUGUAUGUACCUUAUGAAUAAGGACCGGCUAAUUCCGUG